CCCCGAUCCCGACUCCCCCGCCGCGGAACGUGCGCGAGGAACCGCCGGCGACGUCAUGAUCCCGAGCCGCGGAGAAGAAGAGCGUGGAAGCCGACGGAGACGAGUUGAACAUCUCUGGCGCUGGAAAUCCCCGGCGCUCAUCAACUGUCACUGUGAUUAUUCGUGCAGCAGAACAGCAGCUGGGUCACCUCACCUGAGCCGUGGUCCUGGGGAGAGAGGAUCAGAUACAAACCGACAGCUUUGUCACACACUUGUGUGACAGAAUGCGUGGGCCGAGACGGGGGGAGGACGAUCUGUUCUCACUUUCUGGUCUGCAGGUGAAACCGAAGCCGGGUCUCGCUGCUGGUGUGGAGACGGCUGGCUGUAGGAGACGUGGGACUACCUACUAAAAGAGUGCUUACUUUUGCAAUUUUCAUGUCAGAUUAAAAUUUGCAUAUUGAUUCA